UGAGGAAUAUUGGUCAAUGGGCGCAAGCCUGAACCAGCCAUCCCGCGUGCAGGAAGACGGCCCUAUGGGUUGUAAACUGCUUUUCCAGGGGGAGAAUUUUUCUGUCGUGACAGGAAUUGACGGUACCCUGGGAAUAAGCAUCGGCUAACUCCGUGCCAGCAGCCGCGGUAAUACGGAGGAUGCGAGCGUUAUCCGGAUUUAUUGGGUUUAAAGGGUGCGUAGGCGGAUUGAUAAGUCAGUGGUGAAAACCUGCAGCUUAAAUGUAGA
rnacentral:rRNA from 1 species